GACGUAGGAUGCGAGCGUUGUCCGGAUUUAUUGGGCGUAAAGAGUUCGUAGGCGGUUCGUUAAGUCUGAUGUUAAAGACUGGGGCUCAACCUCGGAAAUGCAUUGGAUACUGGCGGACUAGAGUGUGGUAGAGGCAAGCGGAAUUCCCAGUGUAGCGGUGAAAUGCGUAGAUAUUGGGAAGAACACCGGUGGCGUAAGCGGCUUGCUGGGCCAUAACUGACGCUGAGGAACGAAAGCUAGGGUAGCGAAUGGG
rnacentral:rRNA from 1 species